AAAAGAAACUAACAAGGAUUCCCUUAGUAACUGCGAGUGAAGAGGGAAAAGCUCAAAUUUAAAAUCUGGCAGUGUUUCACUGUCCGAGUUGUAACCUAGAGAAGUGUAACCUGCGCUGGACCGUGUAUAAGUCUCCUGGAAUGGAGCAUCACUGAGGGUGAGAAUCCCGUCUUUGACACGGACCACCAGUGCAUUGUGGUUGUGCUCUCAACGAGUCGAGUUGUUUGGGAAUGCAGCUCUAAAUGGGUGGUAAAUUCCAUCUAAAGCUAAAUAUUGGCGAGAGACCGAUAGCGAACAAGUACCGUGAGGGAAAGAUGAAAAGAACUUUGGAAAGAGAGUUAAACAGUAUGUGAAAUUGUUGAAAGGGAAACGUUUGAAGUCAGUCGCGUCGGUUGGGGAUCAGCCUGACAUUGUUGGGUGUACUUCCUGGUUGACGGGCCAACRUCAGUUUUGAUUGCCAGAAAAAGGCCAAAGGAAUGUGGCACCUUUGGGUGUGUUAUAGCCCUUGGUCGUAUAUGGUGGUUGGGACUGAGGAAAGCAGCGUGCCGAAAGGCCGGGUUUCGACCACGUUCACGCUGAGGAUGUUGGCAUAAUGGCUUUAAGCGACCCGUCUUGAAACACGGACCAAGGAGUCUAACAUGCAUGCGAGUGUUUGGGUGGAAAACCCUUACGCGUAAUGAAAGUGAAAGUUGAGAUCCCUGUCGUGGGGAGCAUCGACGCCCGGACCAGAACUUUUGGGACGGAUCUGCGGUAGAGCACGUAUGUUGGGACCCGAAAGAUGGUGAACUAUGCCUGAAUAGGGUGAAGCCAGAGGAAACUCUGGUGGAGGCUCGUAGCGAUUCUGACGUGCAAAUCGAUCGUCAAAUUUGGGUAUAGGGGCGAAAGACUAAUCGA
rnacentral:rRNA from 1 species